AUAUUUACCCAGCAGGGGAGAUACUAUGAUGACAAGGGUGGAUUUCCCUGGGUGAGGCUUAUCUAUUGUACCCUGGGUGUGCUGACCCCUGCAGUUUUCCCAAAUGUGAGAAACCUGACUGCAUAAUUUGUGGUAGGAGGGUGAUUGCGUUUGCUGCAGCUGCACCUGG
rnacentral:snRNA from 1 species